CCCCACAUUGUGCUCGUGGUAAUGGAGAGGUUUCACUAGAUCUGAUGGUUUUACAAGGGGAAAUGCUUAUAAAACUUGGUUCUAAUUCUCUCUCUUGCCCUGGCCACGUGCCUUUCAUCUUCCACCACGCCUGUGAGGCCUCCCCAGCCACACCAAACUAAAGGUAUCUCAAGUUCGACUCCACCACCCCCACUUGGUAUCCCACUGCUGGAGACCCAGCUCAGCCUGGGGUUGUUUGUUACAGAGGAGUGAGCUGCAUGGGCAGAAGUUAGACGGCUGGUAUGUAGGAGGGCAGUCUGACUCGACAGCCCAUGCCCUCAGCCACAAAGCUAAGCUGUCUCCAAAAGCAUCAGAGUAACCACACAGACAUCAGGACAAUCUUGUCACCAGGUGUGCAGCGGAGGAGCACCGAAUCAGGAGGCAGAGGGCCUUGCUCUCUAACACUGUGUUUCACGGAACAUAAGAACCCAUCCACUGUAAGAUGCACCAUUAUUAUUCUUAUACCGCGAAGAAAGGUGAAAGACUGCCAAUCAAACUAUGACACUGAAGUCAAAAGCCAUCAAUGAUAAGACAAUCCUGACCUCAGUUCAGCUGUCGGGGAGAAAUGUGCAUCUUGGAACCCAUUAAAUAUGAUUUCACUCUUAAUUACAUUGAACAAGUCAUUUAACCUGGAGCCCAGUUUCUAUAUCUACAAAGUAGGGGGCUGGAUAUGGUGAUUACUAAGAUCCCUUCCAGUCUGACAACGUUAGAUAGAUAGAACAGAGGGGAGGAGAAUGAAGUGACUCGGGCUCAAAAUUUAACCACUCUCAGCGUGGUGCAAACAGAGGAUGGGCCCUGAGAGUCGGUGCCUCCUUAGUCUGUAUCCUAGCAACCUUAAUUGCCUCAUUAGUAGGGGCCUUGAUAAUGAAUGCAAUGUGGGAUUGAGACAGUUUGUCUUUGGGGUUUUCCUACCAAGAUCUUUUCACGAUAAUCUGUCCACACUUCAGACCAACUUUUUCCAACUACUUUCAUGUUUCCUAGCAAGAUGUAUUUCCUUCACUUGCAGCAUUUCUUUCAUUUCUAUUCCCUCCCUAGCUUCUCAUUUCUAUUAAAAUGCCAAAUUCCUAGUUAGUUUAGCUAGCUCUUCACUUCUUUUUUUUAGACGGAGUUUUGCUGUUGUUACCCAGGCUGGAGUGCAAUGGCACGAUCUCGGCUCACCGCAACCUCUGCCUCCUGGGUUCAAGCAAUUCUCCUGCCUCAGCCUCCCGAGUAGCUGGGACUACAGGCACGCACCAC